CGCGUAGGUGGUUAUUUAAGUGAGAUGUGAAAUCCCCGGGCUUAACCUGGGAACUGCAUCUUAUACUGGGUAACUGGAGUGCAAUAGAGGGUAGUGGAAUUUCCGGUGUAGCGGUGAAAUGCGUAGAUAUCGGAAGGAACACCAGUGGCGAAGGCGGCUACCUGGAUUGACACUGACACUGAGGCGCGAGAGCGUGGGGAGCAAACA
rnacentral:rRNA from 1 species